rnacentral:rRNA from 1 species
UGCAGUCGAACGGUAAAUAUUUUAGCAAUAAGAUAUGAGAGUGACGUACGGGUGCGUAACACGUAUGCAACCUACCCUUUACAGGCGGAUAGCUCGGGGAAACUCGGAUUAAGCCGUCAUAAGAUCAUAGAGUGGCAUCACAUAGUGAUUAAAACUGAGGUGGUAAAGGAUGGGCAUGCGUCUGAUUAGUUAGUUGGUGCGGGUAACGGCCCACCAAGACGAUGAUCAGUAGGGGAACUGAGAGGUUGAUCCCCCACACUGGCACUGAGAUACGGGCCAGACUCCUACGGGAGGCAGCAGUAGGGAAUAUUGGUCAAUGGAUGGAAGUCUGAACCAGCCAUGCCGCGUGCAGGAAGACGGCCUUCUGGGUUGUAAACUGCUUUUGCCAGGGGCUAAAAAGCUCAUGCGUGAGAAAUUGAAAGUACCUGGUGAAUAAGCCACGGCUAACUACGUGCCAGCAGCCGCGGUAAUACGUAGGUGGCAAGCGUUGUCCGGAUUUAUUGGGUUUAAAGGGUGCGUAGGCGGCUUUGUAAGUCAGUGGUGAAAUAUGGCAGCUCAACUGUCAGGGUGCCAAUGAUACUGCGGAGCUUGAGUACAGAUGAGGUAGGCGGAAUUGACGGCGUAGCGGUGAAAUGCUUAGAUAUCGUCAAGAACACCGAUAGCGAAGGCAGCUUACUAGGCUGUAACUGACGCUGAGGCACGAAAGUGUGGGGAUCAAACAGGAUUAGAUACCCUGGUAGUCCACACUGUAAACGUUGAUGACUCGCUGUUGGCGAUACACGGCCAGCGGCAGAGAGAAAUCGUUAAGUCAUCCACCUGGGGAGUACGCCGGCAACGGUGAAACUCAAAUGAAUUGACGGG